rfam:Solanum lycopersicum cultivar Heinz 1706 chromosome 1, whole genome shotgun sequence.
AUACAUACUUGGACGGGGUCAAUGGGUGAUCAAUAAGACCCAUGGCCUAGGUUUGUGACCUUCGUUGCACUUUGAAGGGGUGCAUACCUAAGGUCGGCCCAAGUGGUCGGGACUGCUUUUUCUUUUUCUUUGCCUUAUGAGAGAAGUUAUUCUCUAUUUUG